GGUCCCCAAUGGGGGGGGGGGGGCAGGGGUGUCCCCACUGAUUUUGCUGCCCAGGGGGAAUUCCCCCCCACGGCCAGUCUCUGGUUUGAUUGUGGGUUUUUUCUCGUGGAAAAUCAGACCUCCCCCCACCCACUUAGCUCACAGAACACAAGUCCAGGUCCCUCACUCCCAAGCCACAGCCCCCCAGCCCUGCUGGUGCCCCUCACCCUACCAGCCCUGCUGGUGCUCCUCAUUCCCCCUACAAGCCCCUGGACCUGCAGGUACCCCUUGCCCCCCACCCACAGCCUUCUGCGCCCCCCCCUCCCCAGCCCUGCCAGAGGGAGCCCCCAGCUGCCAGGGCUAGGGGGGCCAGGGACCUGCGUCUGUAGCCCUGUGCCCCAACAGGAGAUGGCAGCUGCUACAGUAGAGUGGAGUAUGACUUCCCUGCCCUCUGCAGGCUCAGGUGGAGGGUGGGCUGACUCCCCAGUACUGCGCGUGCUUCUGGGGGCCACCAGGGAGCCAUGCCCCCCAGAUCUGUGUGCGGGGUAGGGGUGGGUGUGGUUGCCUGCUGCAGGCUCAGACUCACCACCCUGCUGCCCUUCCCUGGGGCCUCCGCCGCCCAGCAGGUGUGACCUAGUGCUGCAGGGAACAAACAGCAGGGCCAUUGCGAGCUCCACACUGCCUUGGCGAGAUGUCCCCUGCCCGCACGGCUUCAGCAGGGGCAGCGGCGCAGGGUUGUGCCCCUCGCUGCUGCCACGCAGGCAGGGGAUGCCUCUCUGAGGUAGCAUGGGGCUUGCAACAGCAAGGAGCUUCCCUGCUCAGCCCCACUGUUCCUUGCAAUGCCAGGUUGCACCUGCUGAGCUGCAGAAGCCCUGAGGGAGGGCAGCAGGGCUGGGAGCCCAAGCCCACAGCAGGCAGCCUGUUCCUCCCUCACCCCUGCCCCCGAGGGAGUGCGUGCAGCGCCAGGGAACUGGCCCCAUCCCACUCUGCCCCGAAUGAGCCGCCCAUGGCCCUGUCUCACUCCCUGCUGGGGCCUUGUGGCCAUGCAUUGCAGCCCCAGGCCCCACAGACUACCCAGCUGGGCAUCAGCCCCAGCUGCAGCCCUGCCCAGCUCCAUUCCUCCCUCUCUAUGGGGUCCUCAAUCCUACACCCCUGACUUACCUGCAAGAGCUGCUUUCCUGGCUGCCUGGUGGCCAUUUGCAUAUACAUGAACAUGGCACCCCCUGCCUGACUGCUCUUCUACUUCUCACCCCCCUCAGCCCCUUGCAGGCUGGGACUCUGCCAGCUUGCAGAGAGCUCUUUGCAAAACUGCAAAAUCCGUGGGUUUCUCCGUUACAAUGAGAAAUCCACAUUUUCCUUGGGUAAAGGGGGAAAUCUGCAUUUUUGUCUAUUUUUCUAUGGGAAAUGGAAAACCCGGAUCCCUGCUUAUUAGUGUGAAUGGAGAGGUCAAAACUGCAGUACUGCUGCUGUUCCUGAAGAGGUUGAAGAUUCUUUUGUGAGGGUUCUCAUCAGGAACUGUACUUUUGUUGGGUCUCUUUUGGGAUGAUGUUAAAAAGCAUUGUUUAAUUUGAAGAGCAGAAUAUCCUUUAUCUUCAAAUUAUUUCUGAACAAUCCUUUGAGGGUCUUUUAGGUCUAAUUAGUUUGAAGACAAUUAACCUGUUGUCCAAAAAAUCAUGGUGGUGAUGCCUGUCUAAUAAGGCUUUUGCUUGCCUUGACCAUUACAUUAUCCAAGCCUUGUUUGUCUGUCACAUCCUGCAUAACUACACAAGAAGGUGAAUCUGACUUGGCAGCAUUUCACACUCACUUAGCAGUGGUAUAAUUGACAUUACAAGCUGUUAAUAGAAAAAUCCAGAUCUCAGUGUCCAAGCCCGAGUUCUGAAUAGCCUUAUAGAGGGGUUUAACUUGAAGCAGUGUGAGUUGUUCCACUGGCUUCAGCAGACCUACUUGCAGAAAACAAACAAAUAGUCCAGAUGCAACUUUUACUGUACAUUUUCUAUUAAAAACAUUAAAAAGAGCUAUGAAAUAAUUUAUCCAAUACGUGUGAAUAUUGCUUUAAAAAUGCCAUUCUAAAACUGCAAGGAGGUUGCUAUACGGUGUGCACAGUAUUCCUGCAACACCUCUCCUGAACUAACUACCAGGUUAGCAGGGGAACCCAGAGUUCCAGGCUGUGUAAAUGCUCCAAGAAGAACAACAAACAGGCUCAGACCUGGCAUGACUUCCUGUUUUGUGGUUCUUUUGUUUUUUACUUAAUUUUUUAGGAGCUGAAAAGAAACUGUUCUUUCCUAAGUGGUUCACAUGAAUAAUGGAAAUACAAGGUAUUUUCUCAAUAAUGGAGGAAUUGAUUUGGAUGAAUGUAUCAUUUGAAUUCAUCUAACUUCGUCAAUCUGUGAGGAAGCUGGUAAUUUCCUCUUUGCACAUUCUGAAUGCACAUUUAUUUAGCACAUCAAAACACACUAGCUUGAGUACAAUGUGGCACUGUUCUUUGAAAACUACUGGUUAUCACUAAGGUAAGCAAAAUGUGAAUGCAAAGUAAGGGCUCUCCCUGGGGAAAAAAAGCACAGUUCCAACUGAACUAUUUCAUGGCAGGGGAGAACUUACAGAAAACAGUUGCAUGCAACUAUUUUCUUUAUCUCCCGGUUUUAUAGUUGGUACAUUUACAUCCCCUUUGCCAAGCAGCAUGGUGAAAAUUCCCUAAAGUGUAGCCUUCAUGCUGAGUUAUGAUAAAGAGUGCGUAUCCAACACAGUGAAAAAGGCAAGUGUUUGCUAACUCAGUUUUUAGUACAGCUGGUCAGCAAAUGGGGGCCUUUCUUUUGUGAAAAUAUUGAUUCUCAAUUUAUUAAUUUAAAAUUCAUAAUAUUUCUAACUAGCUCAGGCUUUAGCUACUUUUACCUUGGGUGGCUGUGCAGUAGUCAAUGGGAGCCAUGCAGGAAUUGCUGUAGUGUUGGGAAUACCAAGCCGGACCUGCUUUCCCUGUACUUUUCACUUCUCCAUAAGCCAGAGAGAGGGACAGCAUGGGAGUCAGUAGUAGGGGUGUGCAAAGUGGGCCCUCUUCGAUUUGGUUUCGGAUUCAGCCCGAAUCAGGGACAGUGAUUCGAUUCGUUGAUUCGGAUCGCUGUCCCUGAUUUGAUUUGGCCGAAUCUGAAGAUUCAAUGCUGAUUCGGCCAUAGACACAGCUUUAAAAGUUUUUUCUACAUGCCUCAAGGUACCAGGUGUGGCUCAUGAAUGCUGCAGUUCUGGGGCAGAUGGAGUGUCCCACAGGAGUGCGGGGGGCCCCCACAUGUUUAGCAGCGAACCCAGAAGUGGACCGGAAGUACUUAUGGUCUACUUCCAGGUCUACUGGGGAGCACACCUCACGCUCCCCCCAAUUCAUUGAUCAGCCACAGAGAGACCCCACAGAUGCCCCUCUAGACCCAGGAAGCAUCAGUUGCCAAGCCGGGAGGGGAGAGAAUUGCGGGGAGGCCCCCUGUGUACUUUUCGGCAGACCCGAAAGUGGAUCGGAAGUGAUGCUGAUUCACUUCCAGGUCUGCUGCUGAGUGCACUGGGGAGCCCCCCAUGCUCCUAAGGGAUGCUCCAUGCCACCCAAGCAUCACAACACUCAUGAGCCACCUGCUACCUACGGGUAUGUAGAAAAAACAUUUAAAGCUGUAUCUAUAUCCAAAUUGCUGAAUCUUUCUGAAGCUGUCUGAAUCAAUUCGGAGAAUUCUGAUUCGAUUUGGAGAGAUUAAAGGGUUCUCUGAUUUGAUUCGGAGAUUUGGCCAUCGAAUCAGGCCAAAUCUCUGCUGAAUCGAAUCAGGAACCGAAGCUUUGCACAGCCCUAGUCACUAGCACUUUCCUGUACUGUAUGUUUCCACUAGUCUGCAGUGAGACAUCCACCCAUGGCUACCUACAUCGAUCAUAGUGUUUCUUUGCACUGAUAGUGACAUGACUGAAAGAUAGAAGACAGAUGCAUACAAAAACAGCUGUUGCAUGUAGGGAAACCAAAGCAUUAUAGUGUGAUUAGAACGGCACUGCUGAGGAGCUGAAGAAAGCUUAUGAGUCUUUGGUGCCAAAUGAAAUUACAGUAUAGGACUUCUCUGAGGAGAGCAAUGUGCUUCCAGUGGAUGAGAACUGACUCUGAUGACAUGGCAGUGGUUGGGGUAUUCUCUCCUAUUCCUUUCACAGGGAGUGAACAACCUUCCAAUGAAGAAUUCAAAAUGCUGCACAACCAACAAAAGUGUUUUGGAGCAUGUCAUUAGCUUAUCAAGAAAGAGGAUUUGUAACUGCAUGCUGGUCGUAUCAUGCAGCUGUUUAAAGCCCUUCUUUGAGAUGGAUGCCCCCAAAAAAGAAGUCCUUGCCAUUUUUUGUAAUGCCAUAUGUGUCUGUUUUAAAAAGGAGGCUCUCAUAGUUGAAAUUAAUGUAUUGUGACAGGAACAGAGUCAGAAUUCUCCAAGUCCAAGUUCUACCAGCAUCUGGCAGCUCCUGCUGCUAAACAAAUCACAGCUAAAGUGGAAGGUGCCAAGAACGGGACCUUGCUUGUCACCCCUGCUGUCACCUUGUAAUCAGGACUUGUGAAGGUAACAGUCUGCCCCCUUAGCUUGACUGCCCAUUUGGUGGUCCUGACACUUUGCUGCUGCUCUGUUGGAGUAUAGAUAGUGUUGCAAGGGCAGCUGCCCUGAAAAGCACCCCAAGGAGCUGGAGAGCAAUUCAUUGAUGCAGUGCUGUUCUGCACAUUCAUUAAGAGUAAGACUUACACAGUAUGGAAGUGUUGCAGGCAGCAAUUAGAAAAUUCUUCCUAGAACACCUACUGGUGCAUGAUUAAAGCUACUGCUGUAGCAACCACUGAAAAGGAUCAAGGUUGCACAGAGCAUGAGAAGGAAAGAAAACAUCAACAAUCUCCUGCAUUCAAGGGCAUAGGCAGGGGAUACAAGGGAAGUACCUGUUCCCCUUUUGGACAUACUUAUUUUUCAGUGAUCAUAAAUGUCUGUCUACCCCAUUCAGUUGCUGCUCCAAGCAGUUACUAGGAAUGAGAAUAGUUGUACUGCACCAGGAAUACACCACAGUGCAAAGUCACCAUUGAUUUCCUGCUAGAACUGUAUUGUGCUUCUCCAAACCAAGCCUGAGAGAAGAACUUUAGGCAUGAAAGAAAGCAAAUGAGCUAAUGAACUAUUGUAUCACUGUGCAGUAAACACAAGCAAAAUUACGCAUGGUUUAGUAACUAUAAACAAGCAUUUCUAAAAACAUGGUUCCAAGCCAGAGGGAUCCUUAGCUGGUCAUUUAGGAACUCUGUAUAAUCCCUGGUGCUAGAAGCAUUGCAGGGACUGGGAGGAGAUCAUGUACAUCUUCCUAUUCAACAGUGGUUAGGGACUGCUCCAUACCUGCAUCAGAGAAGAUUUGGCACCCAGGGCCAAAAGGUUGAAUCCUCUGUUAUCAACUGGCCAUUUCCUGAAUGUUCUGGGAGUAAUAUGGCACAACCCUGCAACAGUGACUUGUUUAGUAGAAAAGAUGCCUGUGCAACUGGUAUAUCAGCCGGGUGCAGUAGGAGGGAGAGGAGGCUGACUGGGCACACGUGCGGGCUCCCAGCACACGUGUGUCCCCUGCAACGUACCUGAGGCGGCAGAGGCUGAGAAGCAACAGUGGGGGCAGCAGCAGCAGCUGACCCCCUGAAGGUAAGUGGGGCAGGAGCUGGCACAGCUGCAGAGGAUCCGGAGGGGAAGCCCCUGGAUCCCUCUUUGCUGAGCCAGGCAGGGAACCGCGUGCGUAAGGGUGCACAAAGAGUAAGCGACAAGAAGGAGCACCUAGCAAGAGUGAUGAUGACUCGAAGCUCAGCAGCUAAGGUAAGAGCAGGUAAGGUAAGAGGAGGGGAGGCAGCUGCAGCUCAGAUGGCGCUGCCCACCCGUGGUUCCUCUGAGGUGUCCACUCAGAUGGAGCCCUGCCCCCCUGUCUGCAGGGGUGGCCUGGCGGUGACCCUGCCAUCGGGGGAGAGGGGGAGCCCCCUUGCCUGUCCCUCAUGUGCCCACCUUUGGGCCUUGGAGGAGCAAGUGAGGGAACUCCAGGAGGCAGUGAGCAGGCUAAGGGGGAUCAGGGAUGAUGAGGCAGUGAUUGACAGGUAUUUCUAUUCCUUACAGCUCCAGAUGCCGGUGAAACUCCACGUGAGGAGUCUGCAGCAGGGGAGUGGAGGACAGUCACCUCUGGAUCCAGGCGGCAGGGCCCGGUGUCUGCUUCCCCAUUGCGUGUGGGGAACAGAUACGGGGCCCUGACAACCAUGGAGGAGACAGAGGAGAAGUAUUUUCCUGCAGAGUUGGUGAUCCCUGUAGCCCCUACUGGGCAGGCUAGGGGAUCACUGCCCAGGCAGAAGAAGAAACGCUGAGUGAUUGUGGUGGGUGACUCGAUCCUGAGAGGCACGGAGAGGCCGAUCUGUCGACCGGAUCCUAUGGUGAGAGAAGUCUCCUGCAUGCCUGGAGCUAAGAUCAGGGACAUCACUGAAGCGAUUCCUGCUCUCAUUAAGCCCUCUGACUACUACCUCAUGGUCCUCGUCCAUGUGGGAACCAACAGUGUGGCUAGGACCAGCCCUGACCACAUCAUUAAGGACUUCCAUGAACUGGGAGACAGCCUCAAGAAGCCUGGAGCACAAGUUGUAUUUUCUUCCAUCCUUCCGGUUGGCAGCAGCCGGAGAUGCCAGGGUGCCCGCAUCAAGGAAGUCAACCGGUGGCUCCAGAGUCGGUGUCUUCAGGAGAGCUUCGGAUUCUACAGCCAUGAUCAGCACUUCCAGGGAGGAGGCUUCUUGGGAGAUGAUGAUCUUCAUCUCUCUCCCAGAGGUCAUGCACUUCCUGGAUGCAGGAGCUGAGGCUGAUGUCAUCUUCCUGGACUUUAGCAAGGCCUUCGACACAGUUUCGCACCCUAUCCUCAUUGGGAAGCUAGCAGACUGUGGAGUGGAUGCUUACACGGUUAGGUGGGUAGCCAACUGGCUUAGGGACCGCACCCAGAGAGUGGUGGUGGAUGGUUCCUUCUCAGCCUGGAGGGAGGUGGGCAGUGGGGUCCCGCAGGGUUCAGUCUUCGGACCGAUAUUAUUCAAUAUCUUCAUCAGCGAUUUGGACGAGGGCGUGGAGAGCACCUUCUCCAAGUUUGCUGAUGAUACCAAGUUAUGGGGCAAAGUUAGUACACCAGAGGGCAGGGAGCAGAUUCAGUCUGGCCUGGACAGGUUGGAUCAAUAGGCAGAGAGAAAUAGGAUGCAAUUUAAUAAAGAUAAAUGUAAGGUACUCCACCUGGGAAGGAGGAACCCCCAGCACACCUAUAGGUUGGGGAGUGUCCUUCUCAGCAGCUCGGAGGCAGAGAGGGAUCUUGGAGUCAUAAUUGACUCCAAGAUGAACAUGAGCCGGCAGCGUAACGAGACCAUCAACAAGGCCAAUAGCAUCUUGUUGUGCAUUAGCAGGUGCAUGACUAACAGAACAAAGGAGGUGAUGCUUCCCCUCUGUGCGGCACUGGCCAGGCCACAGUUGGACUACUGUGUCCAGGAUUGGGCGCUGCACUUCAAGAGGGACGCGGGGAAUCUCAAGAGGGUCCAGAGGAGGGCCACUCACGUGAUUAGUGGCCUUUGUGAUAGACCCUACAGGGGGAGGUUGAGAGAGUUGAAUCUCUUCAGCCUUCACAAGAUACAGCUGAGGGGAGAUCUUGUGGCUGCCUAUAAAUGUAUUAGGGGAGGUCAAUGGGGAAUAGGGGAAGCGCUGUUUACUAAGGCGCCCCAGGGAGUGACUAGGAAUAACGGGUGUAAACUAGUUGAGAGUGGAUUUAGGUUAGAUAUUAGGAAGAAAUUUUUCACAGUAGGGGUGGCCAGGAUCUGGAAUGGGUUUCCAAGAUGUCACAACCAAAUUAAGUAGUGCCCAUGUCACAAACAAGUAAUAACCAUUUAAAACAGUUUAUUCUGCACUAGGUUAACUAAGGGUUAACAAUAAUGAUAGUAACCACUUUUUUCUGCGCGUGUCAAAAAGAAAUUUAUUGCUGCGCCACUAACAGAGAUAAAAACUUUUGCCUUCUUUGCUUUAUAUAAAUCAUUAUAAUUGGUCAAAGAAAACAAGGAGUAACCCUGUAAAAAUAACACCCUAACAAAGACCGCUAGAUAAUUGGCGAUUCUAAUUAGAUUUAUGACGUGGCGAAAAACAAUUGGCUAUCAUACAAACAAAACCCGCUUACAUUUUUCGCAAAGUCGAAGACAACUCUGCCCACACCUUGGAGUAAAUCUGACAAUUUAAUCAGUUGUCAGCGUCUUCCCGCCGCGACCUCCCUGGCGUACUCUUGCCCCGCAUGCCCGAUAAGCCGACCGCCGGCCCGUAUAUAUAUAUCUGCAGAACGACUAAACGACGAUCUCUAAGCUAUGACUAACUAAGUAUCUCUGACCUCCGGUAUUCACCACCUUGACGGCGUGAGUAAAUAAUCUUGCUUUACAACCGAUAAGCGUCUGCCUAAUUAAUUCCACUCGACGCAUCACAAAUACCCGCCUGACGGCCUUCUACGGCCCCAAACCCUUAUCUGCCCGGGUGGGAGUCAGGGAGAGCUGCUGGCCGGCUGCCCUGGGUCCCAACAUGGCGUCAUGAACAGGAUACAGGGAAAAUGUGAUAGAGGUGAAAUUAAUUAAAAACUGCCCCUGGUGUAGUGGGGGGCGCCGCGUAAAUAACGCGGAUGAAUUAUGGGCCCACAUCGCUUAUCACCAAGCGAGCGGAGCGGAGACAGGGUGCGUCAGCGGCUACUUCUCGCUGAGAGAAGAGGAGGGAGUCGGAAAGGAGUGGGCAAGCGCCGAGUGGGACAAAAGAAAGAUGAUUAACGUAGUGUCACUCCUACUGCGUGAAAAUACAAACUUAAAAACCCAGUUAGCUACAGUCAGCAAAGCUGCUGCGGAGAUGGCAGUGUGCCAAAACCCUCCGUUGCCACCAAAAAAAUGGCACCGAAAAAAAUAUGAGCUGCCUGGAGAACCUAAAAAAGAAGGGCGGAGCCACAAAAGAACAGGUGGGACUCCACUCAGCAAGCCCGCUCCCUGAGAUGACGUCGCUCCCAACGGCCCCACCUCCGUACCACAGGGACGGGGCAACGAGUGAGAAUCCGAACCUCCCAUCAGACACAAUAACAACUACAGCUGCCGCUCAUCCUGUAACAAUAACCAAGCAAAUAACCAACCCAGAGGGUGCAACCACCAUCACCACCCUUGACGUCAUCAAAGCAUGCAUGGAGAUUUAUGGAGGAGAGGACACCAUCACCCUUCGCCUUCUCCUCAACCUGCUCGUUACUCAGCCAGCAGAAAAUCUUUUAAGUCAACUUCCACGACUACAAGCCCUUAUAAAGUCAAUAGCUACAAACCCAGCCGAAAUAUCAAGCCACCUUACUACGUAUCCAGUCGAAUACCAAGGGCCAAGACAUUCCCAAUUCAACUCAUGAAAAAAAUCAAGAUUGCCACCCCAGAGGACACCGAAAAAAAGAGCCAUGUUUGGGUUCCUCCUAAACCACUUCACGCUUACCAAACAACGGCUACACGUCCUAAAAAAUGCGGGACAAUGACAACUGGCACAUAUACUAGGCUACCAAUCUCGACCGAUCCUGCCAACCGGUCCGGGCCCCGGAGGCACCCAUGCCUAACAGCGCACUCCAGAUAACACCGCAGCCUGCCCCAACAGACAACUACUUAAAGGGGGCAUCUAUAAACUAGCGCUUCAAAAGCCCCAACCAUAAAACCCAAAGCUCACCCCUAGACACCACACCAUCGUCAACCACGUCCGCGAGUGCACAAAAAAGUCAUCUGCAAACCCGAACAGUAUCCUGGCUCCUACUCUGUGCUCCUAAAAGGCGAUCAAACCUGGUCGCUCAUCAUAGCUCAUCACAACUGGCUAACUCGCUGCCAUGCUGUUCACCGAGUCUGGCCACCCUUUUCUUUAUUUGUUUGUCUGUUCAUCUGUUUUGUCCCCUUACAGGCCCAGCGAAGACGAAACAACAAUCUAUAACUGCCCGAUCGUGAGAAUCGCCAAGCACCAACCUACAACACACCCGGGUCGACGCCACAAUGGCUGCCUGCUCAUAUGUCGCAAGCAGGGUCGUUGCUCUAUUCCUACAGUUACCAACAGAUUUCUCGGCGAACAAAGCUGACUUCAAAACCUCCAACUCGGUCCUAAACCUUCUGUCAUUAUAGGCCAAAGACACAACUAAUGAUUCAUUUUAUGGUUUUUCUUUUCCUGUUAAUGAUCUUAUACAUAUUUGUUUUGUUUUGUUUUAAAGCCUGUUCAAAACUUUACACAACAAAGCCAAGUCAUAAUGUUUUGAGUAAAAAGCUCUAAAUUAUUAAAAAAAAAAAACAUUGAUAAUCUAAAGGUUUGGGGGAUGUAGCAGAAAGGUCGAGUAUAGACAAAAACAUUAAAUAAAAAAAAAAUUUGCCUUUUUAGUUUGGUUUCUUAACUAAAACACAAAAAAACACAAGAGACAGAUAUAAAGGCUUAUUGUAUGUCGUAGGUGGAUAGAGGACAAAAAGUGUCAAAUCGUUGAGAAAAAAAAACAAAGUGAUACAUAACAAGGUUGAUGCGUUUCAACAGUCUUAAACAAAAAAAAUAAAAAAAAAUUACAAAAAACGCCAAACCGACUCUCGGGUAUAGGCCAAGAUUGGCUAUCAAACCUCUUCCGUUGGUUUGGGUGGGACACGUAAUCAUGAUUCCUCAACUUGUUAAUACCCUUCAUUAUGCUUUUGUUAUCAAUUGCUAUAUUUGUGUGUUUCAGUUGUUAAAUUUUACAAUAUCUCAAAACAAAGUUGACCACGCUUUUUGCUUUUAUAUAUAUCCGCUUGCCAAACACUAACAAUAAUAAACAAAAUGGUCUAUAUAUAAACAUGAUGUUACUUGCUGUGCCAUGGACAAGGGGACAUGUCACAACCAAAUUAAGUAGUGCCCAUGUCACAAACAAGUAAUAACCAUUUAAAACAGUUUUUUUCUGCACUAGUUUAACUAAGGGUUAACAAUAAUGAUAGUAACUGCUUUUUUCUGCGCAUGUCAAAAAGAAAUUUAUUGCUGCGCCACUAACAAAGAUAAAAACUUUUGCCUUCUUUGCUUUAUAUAAAUCAUUAUAAUUGGUCAGAGAAAACAAGGAGUAACCCUGUAAAAAUAACACCCUAACAAAGACCGCUAGAUAAUUGGCGAUUCUAAUUAGAUUUAUGACAUGGCAAAAAACAAUUGGCUAUCAUACAAACAAAACCCGCUUACAUUUUUCGCAAAGUCGAAGACAACUCUGCCCACACCUUGGAGUAAAUCUGACAAUUUAAUCAGUUGUCAGCGUCUUCCCGCCGCGACCUCCCUGGCGUACCCUUGCCCCUCAUGCCCGAUAAGCCGACCGCCGGCCCAUAUAUACAUAUCUACAGAACGACUAAACGACAAUCUCUAAGCUAUAACUAACUAAAUAUCUCUGACCUCCGCUAUUCACCACCUUGACGGCGUGAAUAAAUAAUCUUGCUUUACAA